rnacentral:lncRNA from 1 species
CACUGGCUUGGACAGGGAAGAUACAACCUCCAGUGCUCCUGACCAGCAGCCUUUUGCAGUAACAAGUGACUCAGAAGGGGUUACAGUCUUGUCUCAUCGCUGCAACUCCCGUACGGACUCGGGAGAGGCGAAGGCCAAGAGCGGUGCGUCCUCCGAAACCCAACCAAGCCUCACUGCUUCUUGACACAAUGCCCAUUUAACAUAGAUGCCAGCCACACCAAUGUGUCAGAGGAAACACCGUACCCCUGGCGACUGUCAGCGUGCAUGCGCCCGGAGCCUGGACUCAAACCCAGAAUCUCUAGUUGCACAGCUAGCACUGCGAUGCAGUGCCUUAGACCACUGCACCACUCGGGAGGCCCUGAUCAGAGGAUUUCUGAGAAGACACUUAUAUAGUGCUUUGUUUUGCACAUGAAGUGGUCCAUAUAAAGAUGUGGAUGGAUGGAG